UACGAAGGGGGCUAGCGUUGUUCGGAAUUACUGGGCGUAAAGCGCACGUAGGCGGAUUGUUAAGUCAGAGGUGAAAUCCCGGAGCUCAACUUCGGAACUGCCUUUGAUACUGGCAAUCUAGAGUCCGGAAGAGGUUAGUGGAAUUCCCAGUGUAGAGGUGAAAUUCGUAGAUAUCGAGAGGAACACCGGUGGCGAAGGCGGCCUUCUGGACAGUGACUGACGCUGAGACGCGAAAGCGUGGGGAGCAAACAGG
rnacentral:rRNA from 1 species